rnacentral:rRNA from 1 species
AACGAACGCUGGCGGCAUGCCUAACACAUGCAAGUCGAACGAGACCUUCGGGUCUAGUGGCGCACGGGUGCGUAACGCGUUGGAACCUGCCCUUAGGUUCGGAAUAACUCCCCUAAAGGGGUGCUAAUACCGGAUAAUGUCUUCGGACCAAAGAUUUAUCGCCUUUGGAUGGGCCCGCGUUUGAUUAGCUAGUUGGUAGGGUAAAAGCCUACCAAGGCGACGAUCCAUAGCUGGUCUGAGAGGAUGAUCAGCCACACUGGGACUGAGACACGGCCCAGACUCCUACGGGAGGCAGCAGUGGGGAAUAUUGGACAAGGGGCGAAAGCCUGAUCCAGCAAUGCCGCGUGAGUGAUGAAGGCCUUAGGGUUGUAAAGCUCUUUUACCCGGGAUGAUAAUGACAGUACCGGGAGAAUAAGCACCGGCUAACUCCGUG